AUUGAACGCUGGCGGCAGGCCUAACACAUGCAAGUCGAGCGAGCGGCGGACGGGUGAGUAAUGUCUGGGAAACUGCCUGAUGGAGGGGGAUCACUACUGGAAACGGUAGCUAAUCACGCAUACCAUCAGAUUUUCCCAGAGGGGAUUAGCUAGUAGGUGGGGUAACGGGUAACCUAGGCGACGAUCCCUAGCUGGUCUGAGAGGAUGACCAGCCCCACUGGAACUGGGACACGGUCCAGACUCCGACGUGAGGCAGCAGUGGUGAAUAUUGCACAAUGCGCGCAAGCCGGAUGCAGCCAUGCCGCGUGUGUGAAGAAGGCCUUCGGGUUGUAAAGCACUUUCAGCGGGGAGGCGUUACCCGCAGAAGAAGCACCGGCUAACUCCGUGCCAGCAGCCGCGGUAAUAC
rnacentral:rRNA from 1 species